rnacentral:lncRNA from 1 species
AUGGGGCCGGUGGGAGCACCGGAACGCGGGUCCCGGCGCUGCCCGCGGGUCGGACGUUCCGCUUCCACGCGGCUUGUGGCCCCACGUGUCCGGCCCCGGCCUCCCCCAGCCCUGCGGGCAGGUGCCAGCUCCGCGUCACCUGUGGGCGACCCCUCGCAAGUUGUGCUCUGGGCAGCGCGGUGGUGCCCGCAGGUGCCCGAGGAGGUCUCAGGGCACGGCCAGGAGACCCGGCGUUAUACACGGCCCCGAGCAGCCCCCGGGAGGCGCAGCCCCGGCGCUGGGGCUCCCCGGCGUGGGCAGCGAGAGGUGCGCAGCCCCGGGGGUGGGACGCGUGUUUGGGGGGCUGGGGGGGACAGGCUGAACCGAGCGAGAGCACAUCCUCACUUAGAUCGCUCCGAUCCCGACCCGGGAAGAGCUGCGGAGCCCAUUAGCGGCCGGGGCUCUUCCAGCCGUGCCGGGGGCAGCUCCCACCCGGACCGCCGUCAGACAGCCGGGGCUGCAGGGCUGCCAUCCUCUUGCGGUGCUCAGGAGCCCGGCUCAGCCCUGCCCGUGGACCCCACGAGGGUGCGGAGCCAACGCGGGCCGCCGCGAGGAGCAGCCCUCUCCAUUCUGCUCUUCUCGGCGGAUCUCGGGGCCGUGCUGCCGCCGGAUGGGAGAAUCCUGAACUGCAGCCCGGCUCCGCCGCACGCCCGUUCCCUCUCCCGGGGCAGAUGCUCCCGCUCGGACCGGGGCGACGGAGCGCGUUACACCGCCGGCGGUGCGCGGCUCCCGACGGGACGGGCGGUGCCCGGGCCGGGCGGGGGCCGGAGGGACGGCAGCCCCGCACCGUGGGCCCCAAGGCUGUGUCACCGCCUGGCUCCGGGCCCGCCGCCUGCGAGGGCCCCCGUCCCGUGCCGAUGUGCUGCUGGGGCCGAGGGGCCGCGGCGGGGCGGCAGGACAGGGACGGGGGGCCCAGGUUCCUCCCGACGGGGCCACGGGACCCUCUCCUGGCCCCUCCGAGGGUGCCGGCCUGGGAAAACCAUGACCUGGCAGCAGUGA